CAGAGUUUGAAAAAACGGAUGGAAGUACCAGACUAUGAAAUGUUCCCAGCAAGUUCUUCAUCUCCAUCUGAGACCACCUCAGCCUGGAUUUCAUUGUCCAUGUCAUUAUCAGCAUUUUGGUCCAAGCCAUUCAACAAGUCUCUAGGAAGUUCCAAACUGUCCAACAUUUCCCUGCCUUCUUCUGAGCCCUCCAAACUGUUCCAACCUCUGCCAGUUCCAAAGUUGCUUCCACAUUUUCAGGUUCACCAGGCUGGUUUAACCUGCGAUUAUUCAGAACUUCCUCACCAUAUCAGCACAGAACAAGAAAUAGAGUGUCUUAUUCAAUCUGUGCAUUAUUUACUGAAAAAUUUACCAAAUCCUACUCUUGUGACAAUUGCAAGGUCAAGUCUGGAUGAUUACUGUCCUUCUGACCAAGUUGACACUAUUCAAGAAAAGGUCCUCAAUAUGCUACGUGCCCUCUAUGGAAAUCUAGACCUCCAAGUGUAUGCAGCAGAGUCUCCUCCAUCUUGAAACAAACAAAACAUUAGGCUCCUGUUGUAUCUUGGUUUAGUAACAGGCCUUUAAUUAACUUAUUUGUAAAUGAGUCUUCCAGAGAACACUGUUUUAUAUUAACUUUCAGUUGAAAUCCUUCAGAUAUUUUGAAUCUCUAAACAACCAUUGUCAGUUGUGGAAUGAUGGUAAAUUUUUUGGCAUCAAGUCUAAUAACCCCAACUGAUAGAACUGUUGCUUAUCUGUCUUCCUUAAGUAUUUUUUAGGGUUUUGUUAUUUGCUUUUUUUUUUUUUUUUUUCACUUUUCCCCCAGGUCUAUUGGGCUGUAUGAGAUUCAUUCAUACUUCAUUUAUUCAUUCAACUAAUAUUUAUUGAACACUUACAUGUACCAGACAUUAUUAAGUGCUGGGUAUAUGGUAAUGAACAGAAUAGACAAGGCCCCUGCCCUUUUAGGGGAGACAGAUGAGAAGUAAAUUACAGGUUAUGAGAAAUGUUAUGAAGGAAAGGACAACAACCGACAUGUCUUAGUACUUAGGGUAUCAUGGCUUUAUAGGAAAGUAACAUUCUCUCUCUUUUUUUUUUUUUAAUUUUAUAAAAAUAGAGAUGGGGUCUCACCAUGUUACCCAGGCUGGUCUCAAACUCCUGGGCACAAGCAAUCCACCUGCCUUCACCUCCCGAAGUGCUGGGAUUACAGGUGUGAGUCACUGCCCCAGCCAGAAACUAACAUUCUCAAAAGCUACUACCAAAAAAACCCCACAAAUUUGCCAAUCCAUGAAAGUAUCAUAGGAAGUCUACCUUUCCAAGGAAUUUGGCAUUGUGGCCCUGCUCUUGCCAAAUGCUCUCCAGCAUUGUUGGUAUCAAGGUGGUCUGGUUGAGUAAACUUGACCAAACAAAAAUUAACUGUUUUUUGCUUUUCUGUUUUUGUUUUGCUGAUCAAAAAAGCCCUUCAGGGUCUUUUGUGCCUCCAGGAGGUCGUUGUAGAUAUCAAUAAUAUAGUGCCUAAGUGCCACUUUAUUGGCAAGUCUAGAUUGAUACUUUUUUCAGAUAAACCAGCUUUUUAUGUAAAGAGUAAGGGAAAAAGUUAAAUCUUUAAUUCUGACCUGCCAUAAAUACCCAAAGAUAUAAACUGUCUUCCACCACCCCCCUCAUAACUAAGACAUCCUUCCUGAGUCACUCUUAAUCAUGAAACUUGAUUUUCUCAAUUGGCCAGUCUUCUGAUCUUUAGUAUCUCUUUAGUUCAGUAAUUUUUACCUACCUACUUGAUUUAUUUUCCUUUAAAAGGUGAAAUGACAUUUAAAGAAAAACACCCAUCAUUCCUCAGUCCCAACACAGCAGUUCUUUUCACUCUUGCUUGUAACUUUCAGGCCUUACCCACAUGUGUUCCUAUAGAGUUGCAUGUAGCUAAAAUUAUAGUGUGCUGCCUAACUUUGUGCUAAUAACCAAGGACACACAUUAUCAUUGCCUCUCAGUGGAUGGCACCUGACCCCAUUUUUCCAAGGAUUCUAUUUUCCAGUGAAUUUUUGUCAACGAGUUAAUUUCCCAAGUCUGAUAGCAUGAAUGCUUAUUUGUGCUGUGAAAAGCAGAGCAGCCUGACUCAGCUUUCCAUUUUCAUAGGAUAAUAUGUGCCAAAAAAGGUUUAUUUUCUUGGUAAAAUCAGAAUUGUAGAAUUGUGCUAUUUUUAAUUUUUUAAAUGUUUGGUUAGAGCUUAUAGACAUUACUUUUAUGAUUAUUUUGUGUGCUAAAUAAGUUAAAGGGUAUGUUUUGAACUAUAGCACUAAUUAAUGUGUGUGAUCUUAGUAUAUUGAUAGCUUUGAUUUUGUGAGUGGUUUACUAGUCAUUUAUUAUGAUUCCCAUGAACUCUGAUAUGAUUCAUUGUGGUUUUAACUCAGGUUGAAUAAAAGCAUCCAUUUCUUUUAUAGGAAGGUUUGUUUAAUUCUCAUGUUCUGU
rnacentral:sRNA from 1 species